GUGCUGAGUGCGUGUGUUUGUGAGGAGCAUGUCCUCUCAUGGCUGCAGUGUGAGCCCCACCCUGUACCGCCUGUCAGUCAGCGAGAACGUCACACACUCCGUCUGCUGCCACACCUGCAAGGCCUACCCCAUCACUGGACUUAGGUGUGUGUCUGUGCUCCAUUUGUAGGUUUUUUGCUGCAUGAUGUGUGUGUGUCUGUAAUGUGUGUGUCUGUUUGUCUCAGACUCUUGCUCUGUGUUGUAGGUAUCGCUGUAUGAAGUGUGUGAACCUUCAUCUGUGCCAAACCUGCUUCCUGACAGAGAGACACACGAGAAAACACAAGAGCUCCCACCCAGUGCUGGAGCACUGCACUCAGGUACACACACACACACACACACACACACACACACACACACACACACACACUUGUGAUUGACGGUUGUGUUUCGUCUCCAGUCAUCCUGGAAAGAAUCCCUAGCCUCAUUAGCAUACAGCGCCCGCCACGCCUUGUUACCACGGCAAUACACACACAGGGUGGCAGAGAGGAGAAGGGGCCUAAUCAGGGCGGAGUCACGAGGGGAGCCGCAGACGAGCUUCACUACCCCUGACCCUUCACCUCAGUCUGCCGCUGAGGACACACCCCCUAACGACAGAGCCCCUCCCACUAAUCCUCUCCAACUGCUGGCCACACCCCCAGCUGUUUGGACCAGGAAGGCAUCUAAAGCCCUGCAAACUGAGGAAGAGCAGGAGGAAGCACAGCCACAGAGGAUAGACUCUGUCCUCAUUAAGGACAACAGGGACCUGCAGAGGGACAAACGGUGAGCCUCAAUCACUGUAGCACUCUAACCUCCUAACCUAGCACCUAACCUAUAGUCUGGGUGAUGCUCAUUGUGUGUGUGUGUGUGUGUGUGUGUGUGUGUGUGUGUGUGUGUGUGUGUGUGUGUGUGUGUGUGUGUGUGUGUGUGUGUGUGUGUGUGUGUGUGUGUGUGCGUGCGUGUGUGUGCAGGCUGCUGGAGAGGGAGCUGCAGGUAUGGAGGGUAACGGUUCAGUCGGAGCAGGGCUCGCUGGAGGACCGCUGCUCUGAGAUGGAGGCCAACAUGGACACUCUGAGACAACACAACCUCAGACUGCAGGACAUGCUCUCACAGGCUCUUAGCAUGUCAGGGACACAUGCUGACGUCAUGCCUCAUGCUAAUGUCAUCCCACAUGCUGACGUCAUGCCUCAUGCUAAUGUCAUCCCACAUGCUGACGUCAUGCCUCAUGCUAAUGUCAUCCCACAUGCUGACGUCAUCCCUCAUGCUAAUGUCAUCCCACAUGCUGACGUCAUGCCUCAUGCUAAUGUCAUCCCACAUGCUGACGUCAUGCCUCAUGCUAAUGUCAUCCCACAUGCUGACGUCAUGCCUCAUGCUAAUGUCAUCCCACAUGCUGACGUCAUGCCUCAUGCUAAUGUCAUCCCACAUGCUGACGUCAUGCCUCAUGCUAAUGUCAUCCCACAUGCUGACGUCAUGCCUCAUGCUAAUGUCAUCCCACAUGCUGACGUCAUGCCUCAUGCUAAUGUCAUCCCACAUGCUGACGUCAUCCCACAUGCUAAUGUCAUCCCACAUGCUAAAUACAGGCCAGAGAGAGACAUAGCCUGUCCUGUAGAGUCCCAGAGCUCUGCAUCUUCCUCUGGAUCCAGAGAAAGAGAGAGAGAAGAGGAGGAGGAGGAGAGGGAAGAGGAGGGAAGAGGAGGCGAGGGUAGAGGAGGAAGAAUGUUACACAGCAAAGAUGCAGAGGAAUGA
ensembl:lncRNA